rnacentral:rRNA from 1 species
UACGUAGGGCGCGAGCGUUGUCCGGAAUUAUUGGGCGUAAAGAGCUCGUAGGCGGCUUGUCACGUCGGUUGUGAAAGCCCGGGGCUUAACCCCGGGUCUGCAGUCGAUACGGGGCAGGCUAGAGUUCGGUAGGGGGAGAUGGAAUUCCUGGUGUAGCGGUGAAAAUGCGCAGAUAUCAGGAGGAACACCGGUGGCGAAGGCGGGUCUCUGGGCAGUAACUGACGCUGAGGAGCGAAAGCGUGGGGGAGCGAACAGG